GGGGGCGGCUGGUGCUGGGACCAUGCUGCCCGCCUGGCGCUCAGACCGCACCGCCCGGCAUUUUGGGGUUGGCCGCACAGGAGCUGGAGGUGCUGCGGCCAUACUGCCUGGGCCUCUGGGGCUGGGGAUGCUGUGGCUGCGCCGCCAGAGCACUUGCAAGAGGGGAAUCCCCUGCCAGGAUUUCAUUCUGGUGCAGGAGGGAAAGAACAGAGUCAUGGAGUUGAAGGCCAGAAGAGACUACUAUGUCAUCUGGGCUGACAUCCACUGUAUCACAGGCCACCAAUGCUGUCACACUCCAAUCGCCCCCCAUCCCUCAGGGAGUCUCCAGGGAAGGCAGAUCAGCAUUGUAUGUGGCUAACACUGUUGCAAGCAUCGCAAAGCAUUUUGGGGAGGGUCAAAGAUGUGUGAGUGGAGAGUGGAAGUUUCCUUUGCAGAAUACAAGAGGCCGGGGGUAGAAAGAAGAAGAGCAGAGAAUGGGUUAACUCAACACUUCAGCUAGCUCCAUGUGAAGCUAAGACGCUGGCCCUGGCCCAAGGUCAUAGGCUUGAUGAGAAAUCAGUAGCUGCCCAGCCGUGAGAAGAGGAGAACUAAGUUGAGCAGAGCUGCAGAGAUAGCAGCGAGAACAGUGAGAGCAAAUGAGACGGCGACAGCGAAGACCAAUAGAAGGGAAAACAAAGUCUCCAGAGCCGGGAUGUUUGGGAAACCAAGGAGGCCACAGCAAGCCGGUUUGGACUGGCACAAAGAGCACCAAAAGCAGAGGUCCCUGAGUGGAUUACCUUCCCCCCUGUCGUCCCCCUCCCCCACCCCCAAGGAGUCCAAGACUUAAAACCCUCCUGAGAGUUGGAGCAACUCGGAGAGCACAGAAGAUCCUUGGAUGGCCUGGGCCCAGGACAGCACUCCCGUCCACCUCUCCCCCCCCUUCACUUCUUCUGACAUUACACCCAGACUUGGCCAGUCUGGGUCGUGCAGGUAAUCCAGCUGUGAUGUGGCAGACCAGGUGACAGCUCAUGCCAAAACCCCUCAGUCUCAACUGAAUACUGGCCAUUACAUAGCGGGAAGCUGUCUGGCUCACCUGUGGAUAGUUAUAGGAUCAGCUACAAGCAUUGUCUUUGGGGAGAGAUCUAAGACACAACUGGCCUUGGAACUUGUGGAAAUGACACUCUUCCUCUCACGGAAGCCCAGGAAAGCAAGGAGCAUCAAUCAAGUUUCAGAAAGCUGCCAGGCGAACAGGAGAUGAUGGCUUCUUUAAGGCCCCAAUGAUAAGUCCAGCAUGGCAGCCC